AGAAGAGCACUUCCGGGGAUCGGGGCGCACGUGCCGAGGCGCUCGCGGGGUCGCUUCCGGGGUCCCGAGCGCGGGUGUACCCCCCCAGCGGGCGAGUCGGGGGCUGGCCGGGGCCUGUGCUCGGCGGGCAGAGCCCGGCUCCGGGGCCGCGGCGAGGCGCCGUGAACGGGCGCAGGGACCAGGGACGAGGCCGGGAUGGCGAAGACGACGCCGCUGACCCCCAAGCGCGCCGCGGUCGACCCCGCGCCUGGGCCGGGGCUCGUCAGAAAGCCGACUCGGAAGAAGAUGAAGAAGAAAAGAUUCUGGAAGAACAAAGCGCGAGAAGUAGGCGAGAAGCCGGGAAACGACGCCGGAGGCGUCGCGGUGCGGCCUCCAAAGGCACCAGAAGACUUUUCCCAAAACUGGAAGGCGCUGCAGGAGCUGCUGAAGCAAAAAUCACAGACCCGGAAAGAUCCUCUUGGUCUCUCUCAGAUGGAUUCCAAAAAGCAGCCCCGAAGUGUCCAGCAGAACAGGAAGUCGAUCCCAGAUAAAGCAAAGAGGGCUGAGAUGGGGACAGAAGACACAGACCAGGAGGCCACAGGGGGCUCUGUUCCCCCAGGAUCACCACCGGACAGGAAGAUGCCUGCACUUCACACACAGCACAGCGGGCAGUCACGGCACAGUGAGAAAGCAGCCAAGAAGAGGACCAAUGGGAACAUUUCUCUGAAGCGAGGAGACAUCAAGCAUAAGAAGCGGAAAGCUAAGGAGGCGACCGCCACCUCAGCCCCAGCCCCACCCACCGAGGAAGACAUCUGGUUUGAUGAUGUGGACCCGGAGGAUAUUGAAGCGGCCAUCGGCCCCGAGGCAGCCGACAUAGCGAGGAAGCAGCUGGGUCAGAGCAAGAGCAGCACCACGCUGGUGAAGGAGCGGGCCUUCAGUGGCCUGACCAAAGCCUUAGCCCUGGACUGUGAGAUGGUGGGUGUGGGCCCCCAGGGGGACGAGAGCAUCGCCGCCCGCGUGUCCCUGGUGAACCAGUAUGGGAAGUGUGUUUAUGACAAGUUCGUGAAGCCGACCCAGCUGGUGACUGACUACAGGACGGCGGUCAGCGGGAUCCGGCCCGAGGACCUCGCGCAGGGAGAAGAAUUUGAAGUUGUCCAGAAGGAAGUGGCAGGCUUGCUGAAGGGCCGGAUUCUGGUCGGACACGCGCUGCACAAUGAUCUGAAGGUACCGGCUGCUGACACCAGCUGCUUGGGCCCUGCGUGCACCUCGGCCGCGCUGGCCUUCUGUGGAGCACAGCGUCUAAGGCAGUCAUGCUUGGUUCGUGCACUGAGUGACAUGCCCACGUGUCAGCUUGGUGGACCGACUCCCCGCACACCACCCGCACACCCGCUGGACAGGCUGCAGCUCCUCUCAGGGCAGAGCUUCCCUGGUGACCAUUCCCUCGAAGCCACCAGGCAGCCCCCACCUCACAGGCUGGCCCACCACGGCCAGCUCAGAGGGCAGCAGGCAAGCUCAGAAGGCCCCCUUCCCGAGGCCCAGAGGGAGCGGCCUCAGCCUCUGCCCUGCAGGGUCCUGCUGUGGGCAAAGCUGACCCUCCGGUUCGGGUGGGAAGCUCAGGGCAGGCAGGGUGGGAGCCUGUCCUCCCUGGACCUGGAGCUUUUCCACGUCCUCUGGGACCCUGGAAUCCUCCCACGUCUCAGGGACUGGGAAGUGUUGGUCUUACGUGCCUUUUAAAAGUAAGUUUUUAACCGUUAAAAACUAACGAGUCCUCUGCUCACAGAAGCACACUUUGUUGGGGUGAUUCUCACCCCAGGGGCCCGGUGCCCCGCUCCCUCCUCGCGCCCUCUCCGUCCCUGGUAACUUGGAUGGACUCAGACCUCCCCCGAGGCCUGUCCCGCGGCCGUGUGCUGAGCUGCUGAAACCGGCUCUGUUCUCGCCUCACUGUGUGUGUGACACCAACUGAAAACAGACAAGUUGGCUGCUGGUUCCUCGGCUCCAGCUUCCCGGCCUCAAGGCUGUUUCAGCCCCGUGGUUCGUGGUUCGAGGGCCUCCUCCCCUGGGUGGUUUUCUCCCAGACGUUCAGGCUGUCGUCAGCACCUCAUUUCAUCUGUGCGGGAACGUGUGUCGUUGCUGGAAUUGGGGGGUUCCCUCACAGCAGGUGAACGGUGAGGCCCCCGUCGUGUUUUCUCCCUCCAGGCGCUGUUCCUGGGUCACCCAAAGAAGAAGAUCCGGGACACUCAGAAGUACAAGCCUUUCAGGAGCCAAGUGAAGAGUGGACGGCCAUCUCUGAAGCUGCUUGCAGAGAAGAUUCUGGGGAUCCAGGUGCAGCAGGCGGAGCACUGUUCG